rnacentral:rRNA from 1 species
UACGAAGGGGGCUAGCGUUGCUCGGAAUCACUGGGCGUAAAGAGCUCGUAGGCGGUCUGUCGCGUCGGCUGUGAAAUCCCGAGGCUCAACCUCGGGUCUGCAGUCGAUACGGGCAAACUAGAGUAUUGCAGGGGAGACUGGAAUUCUUGGUGUAGCGGUGAAAUGCGCAGAUAUCAGGAGGAACACCGGUGGCGAAGGCGGGUCUCUGGGCAAUAACUGACGCUGAGGAGCGAAAGCGUGGGGAGCGAACAGG